rnacentral:rRNA from 1 species
GUGCCAGCAGCCGCGGUAAUACGUAGGGGCCAAGCGUUAUCCGGAUUUACUGGGCGUAAAGCGCAUGUAGGCGGUUUACUAAGUCGGACGUGAAAGCUCCUGGCUCAACUAGGAGAGGUCGUUCGAAACUAGUAGACUAGAGGGUGGUAGAGGAGAGCGGAAUUCCAGGUGUAGCGGUGAAAUGCGUAGAUAUCUGGAGGAACACCAGUGGCGAAAGCGGCUCUCUAGCCCACUCCUGACGCUGAGAUGCGAAAGCCAGGGGAGAGAACGGGAUUAGAAACCCGCGUAGUCC